rnacentral:rRNA from 1 species
UACGAAGGGUGCAAGCGUUACUCGGAAUUACUGGGCGUAAAGCGUGCGUAGGUGGUGGUUUAAGUCUGCUGUGAAAGCCCUGGGCUCAACCUGGGAAUUGCAGUGGAUACUGGGUCACUAGAGUGUGGUAGAGGGGUGUGGAAUUCCAGGUGUAGCGGUGAAAUGCGUAGAUAUCUGGAGGAACAUCAGUGGCGAAGGCGACACCCUGGACUCAUACUGACACUGAGGUGCGAAAGCGUGGGGAGCAAACAGG